rnacentral:rRNA from 1 species
AGAGUUUGAUCCUGGCUCAGGACGAACGCUGGCGGCACGCUUAACACAUGCAAGUCGAACGAGAGAAGAGGAGCUUGCUUUUCUGAUCUAGUGGCGGACGGGUGAGUAACACGUGAGCAAUCUGCCUUUCAGAGGGGGAUACCGAUUGGAAACGAUCGUUAAUACCGCAUAAUAUAAUUGAACCGCAUGAUUUGAUUAUCAAAGAUUUAUCGCUGAAAGAUGAGCUCGCGUCUGAUUAGCUAGUUGGUAAGGUAACGGCUUACCAAGGCGACGAUCAGUAGCCGGACUGAGAGGUUGAUCGGCCACAUUGGGACUGAGACACGGCCCAGACUCCUACGGGAGGCAGCAGUGGGGAAUAUUGCACAAUGGAGGAAACUCUGAUGCAGCGAUGCCGCGUGAGGGAAGAAGGUUUUAGGAUUGUAAACCUCUGUCUUCAGGGACGAAAAAAGACGGUACCUGAGGAGGAAGCUCCGGCUAACUACGUGCCAGCAGCCGCGGUAAUACGUAGGGAGCGAGCGUUGUCCGGAAUUACUGGGUGUAAAGGGAGCGUAGGCGGGAUCGCAAGUCAGAUGUGAAAACUAUGGGCUUAACCCAUAAACUGCAUUUGAAACUGUGGUUCUUGAGUGAAGUAGAGGUAAGCGGAAUUCCUAGUGUAGCGGUGAAAUGCGUAGAUAUUAGGAGGAACAUCAGUGGCGAAGGCGGCUUACUGGGCUUUAACUGACGCUGAGGCUCGAAAGCGUGGGGAGCAAACAGGAUUAGAUACCCUGGUAGUCCACGC